UCCACAAACCAACAAUAAAGGCAAGUGGCAAAGUCUCAGUGAAAAACCUUGACCUGUCACUGAAAGCCAUUGUCAACAUCUAAAUGUCAGAACACAACUUUUAAAAGGAUUUGAAACUAGAAUGCAUUAGGAGAAUCAGUACAACAUAGACAAUUUAUAAGGAUUCAAAUGAAAGAGGUCAGCUCAUAACUUUGGGCCUGAAGGGAAAGCCACACUGGUUUGCUGUGGACAAGAUUAUGAGUUGCCAUACCGAAGAAUCUUAAUGGAAGGACGCAAAGGAGAUGCUGGAAAUUGUGGAAGAGCUGUGGGGUGAUUCUCCUUUCCUUCCCACCAGACUAAGUCUCUUUCCUAGGUCUUUAAAGUAGAUACAGCAACAGUAAAUAAAAAAAUAAUAAUAAUAAUAGGAAAAGAUCACCUAUUGUUGGCUGUCAACUCCACCUGCUCAUAUUAGAAGACAAGUUCUAAGUUUGGAUCAUAAAUUGUAAAUCCCUGUAGUAUAAACUCUUAAAUGAAUUAAGAAACUUCCAAACA